rnacentral:sRNA from 2 species
UUAAAUGUUUUCUAGGGUUCCGCAACAAGUCUGUUGGUCUGGUCCGAGAGAAAACUCACAGCUUUUUGCUGUGUCACGGAAGGAUAAAAGCCUGGGAGAA